rnacentral:rRNA from 1 species
UAGGGAAUCUUCCGCAAUGGACGCAAGUCUGACGGAGCAACGCCGCGUGAGUGAAGAAGGAUUUCGGUUCGUAAAACUCUGUUGUUAGAGAAGAACAGCGCAUAGAGUAACUGUUAUGCGUGUGACGGUAUCUAACCAGAAAGCCACGGCUAACUACGUGCCAGCAGCCGCGGUAAUACGUAGGUGGCAAGCGUUGUCCGGAUUUAUUGGGCGUAAAGCGAGCGCAGGCGCUCAAUUAAGUCUGAUGUGAAAGCCCCCGGCUCAACCGGGGAGGGUCAUUGGAAACUGGUUGACUUGAGUGCAGAAGAGGAGAGUGGAAUUCCAUGUGUAGCGGUGAAAUGCGUAGAUAUAUGGAGGAACACCAGUGGCGAAGGCGACUCUCUGGUCUGUAACUGACGCUGAGGCUCGAAAGCGUGGGUAGCAAACAGG